rnacentral:misc_RNA from 1 species
AUCCUAGCAUAAUCUCUACACUCUGAUGUCUUUUCCAUCUAAAUCUCUAACUUCUUUCCAUUGCCUUUAAUAGUCAAUAUGCUUCUAAUGUAUUAUGCUUUUCUAUUGCCAAUUAAUAUGAUGUAAUGAGUGUUGAAACCGUAAAGAAAACAUGAAUUGUAUUCCUCGAGCAUUCAUUCAAUAAACAAGGUGAUGCAGUGUCUUGUUGUUUCUACACUUAUAGCGCCCUCAUAUACAUAACUAUUUCAUCAUGACGAUCUCCCUAAUGAGAAUACUGAAAUGGAUCGUCAUUAUUGCAAAGCUAGAAACUUGAGGAGAAACCUAACUUGUCAUACAUUCUAUUGUGGGGCACCCCUAUCAAGGGUGUAAUGGAAGAAUUCUCGUAGCUUUUUUGCUAGUAAGUCUCUGAACAACCUAACUACUAAUAUAUUUUCGUUUAAGUAUGAAAAAAGGGCAUCAAGAGACUACGCUACCCACUCUUGUUGCUAGGAUCUUUACUAUUGCGCAUCCAUGUCAUAUAUUUUGCAAAACUCAUUCUUUCAAUGGAGUAAAAGUUUGCAGUUGCAUCUCUGGCUUGGGUUCCUUUUCACAUUUCAAAUAGCACUUUCAUGUGUUUCCCACCCUAAAUUCUUA